AUGCUUUGGAAUGAGAGACUGCUGUGUCAGUGAGGGUACGCUGUAUGGAACCUCAAGAUUCCUCUCUUACAGCUCGAGUAGCCUUCUCAGUCGAACCGUUCAUGUUGCGAGCUGCUGGCGGCCGCAACAUUUUGGCGCCCGAACAGGGACCUGAAGAAUGGCAGAGGGAUGCUAAGAGAAACGCUGCUGGUGUGGAGCUCCACAGGAAAGGAUCUUCGUAUCGGACAUCGGAGCAACGGACAGGUACCCAUGCUAGCGCUAGCUUAAAAUU
rnacentral:lncRNA from 1 species